rnacentral:rRNA from 1 species
UACGUAGGCAGCAAGCGUUGUUCGGAGUUACUGGGCGUAAAGGGUGUGUAGGCGGUUGCCUAAGUUUGGUGUGAAAUCUCCCGGCUUAACUGGGAGGGUGCGCCGAAAACUGGGUGACUAGAGUACGGGAUGGGAAAGUGGAAUUCCUGGUGUAGCGGUGAAAUGCGUAGAUAUCAGGAGGAACACCGGUGGUGUAGACGGCUUUCUGGACCGUAACUGACGCUGAAACACGAAAGCGUGGGUAGCAAACAGG